UGAGUACGAGAUGCUACGGCGUCGAAGCAGUCUAGGUCAUACUUCCAAGAAAAGCUUGCACUGCCAUAAACAGAGAAUGCCUGUACCAUAACCGACACAGGUGGGUAGGUAGAGUAUACUAAGGGGCGCGAGAUAACUCUCUCUAAGGAACUCGGCAAAAUGACUCCGUAACUUCGGGAGAAGGAGUGCCUUAUUUUUAAGGUUGCAAUAACAAGAUCCAAGCAACUGUUUACCAAAAACACAGGUCUCCGCUAAGUCGUAAGACGAUGUAUGGGGGCUGACGCCUGCCCAGUGCCAGAAGGUUAAAGAAGUUGGUUAGCAUUUGCGAAGCUGAUAACUGAAGCCCUGGUGAACGGCGACCGUAACGAUAACGGUCCUAAGGUAGCGAAAUUCCUUGUCGGGUAAGUUCCGACCCGCACGAAAGGCGUAAUGAUUUGGAUACUGUCUCGGAGAGGGGCUCGGUGAAAUAGACUUGUCUGUGAAGAUGCGGACUACCUGCACCUGGACAGAAAGACCCUAUGAAGCUUUACUGUAACUUGAGAUUGAAAUUGGACUUUAUUUGCGCAGUAUAGGAGGGAGGCGUUGAGAAUAAUCUUGCGGGAUUAUCGGAGCCAUCAGUGAGAUACCACUCUUGUAAUGUUAGAUUUCUAACUUUGUAUCAUUAUCUGGUCAAAGAACAGUUUCAGGCGGGCAGUUUGACUGGGGCGGUCGCCUCCCAAAGGGUAACGGAGGCGCACAAAGGUUUCCUCUGAACGGGUAGAAAUCGUAUCUAGAGUGUAAAGGCAUAAGGAAGCUUGACUGUGAGACCUACAAGUCGAGCAGGGACGAAAGUCGGUCUUAGUGAUCUGACGGUGCUGAGUGGAAAGGCCGUCACUCAACGGAUAAAAGUUACUCUAGGGUAACAGGCUGAUCUCCCCCAAGAGUUCACAUCGACGGGGAGGUUUGGCACCUCGAUGUCGGCUCAUCGCAUCCUGGGGCGGUAGUACGUCCCAAGGGUUGGGCUGUUCGCCCAUGAAAGCGGUACGCGAGCUGGGUUCAGAACGUCGUGAGACAGUUCGGUCCAUAUCCGGUGUAGGCGUUAGAAUAUUGAAAGGAGCCUUCUCUAGUACGAGAGGACCGAGAAGGACAUACCUCUGGUGUGCCAGUUAUCGUGCCAACGGUAAACGCUGGGUAGCUAUGUAUGGAGUGGAUAACCGCUGAAAGCAUCUAAGUGGGAAGCCCACCUUAAGAUAAGUAUUCUCA
rnacentral:rRNA from 1 species